rnacentral:hammerhead_ribozyme from 1 species
AUCCAACUGACGAGUCCCGAAUAUGAUGUAAUGCGCAUCCUGGAU